UUACGAGGAAUGUGAGCAGUACCAGCUGACAUCAGCAGUAGACGGUGACAGAAGCAGCAGUGACCUGGAUGGGGAAGACGGUUUGACCUUGCGUGAUAGGAAGAAACGUAUGAAGAAAGCUCUGCCAAAGGACUUUGUUAGUAGUCAGGAUUUGGAUUGUCCACACUUUGCCUCAGGGCCAUCUUUACAAGUAACAGUUGCUCCCCCCCCACCACAAAAGGUUGUCCCAUACAACCAUCAACACAAAGGCUUGCCAAGUGCAGCAAGAAAAAAAUCUGAAAAGACAUAAUUCUGACAGAUGUGAAGUAACCGGCAAAAGAAGAGUAGUUACCAACAGCAAGAUGAAGGCAGUCAGCCUGAUACCCUACAUAUAGCUAGCAGCAGUGGCAGUCAACACGGCAGAUUGGACCUGCACGACAACCACAGCCUAAGGAACAGAUCUGACCGACAGACGAGACAUGACAGCAGUGACCAACAAAGCAGACAUGACAGCAACGAUUGACACAGCAGACAUAACAGCAGCGAUUACACAGCAGACAUGACAGCAGCGAUUACACAGCAGACAUGACAGCAGUGACCGACACAGCAGACAUGACAGCAGUGACCAACACAAAAGACAUGACAGUCGUGGCCGACGCAGCAGACAUGACAGCAGUGACCGACACAACAGACAUGACAGUCAUGACCGACACAACAGACAUGACAGCAGUGACCGACAAGGG